rfam:Ornithorhynchus anatinus chromosome 3, whole genome shotgun sequence.
GCCCUCUCAGGUUCACACUUGGAGAAUUUCCAGUACUCUACCAGUCUCAGCUAUAGGAGGGAGAGUUAAGCAGAGGCAUGUCCAUUCCAUUCCUAGCUUGGGCAAUGGUUAGUGAGUGGAAGGCAAUCUGCUAUAAGU